GGAGGCGUCGCAUAGUGGCCUAGUGCGCCCGCCUGCUAAGUGGGUUGGGGUUAAAGACCCCUCGCGGGUUCAAAUCCCGCCGCCUCCG
rnacentral:tRNA from 2 species